UACGGGGGGGGUAAGCGUUGUUCGGAAUUACUGGGCGUAAAGGGCGCGUAGGCGGCCUUCUAAGUCGAACGUGAAAUCCCCGGGCUCAACCCGGGAACUGCGUCCGAUACUGGAAGGCUUGAAUCCGGGAGAGGGAUGCGGAAUUCCAGGUGUAGCGGUGAAAUGCGUAGAUAUCUGGAGGAACACCGGUGGCGAAGGCGGCAUCCUGGACCGGCAUUGACGCUGAGGAGCGAAAGCCAGGGGAGCAAACGGG
rnacentral:rRNA from 1 species